rnacentral:rRNA from 1 species
GUAGUUUGAUCUUGGCUCAGAUUGAACGCUGGCGGCAUGCCUUACACAUGCAAGUCGAACGGCAGCAUGAUCUAGCUUGCUAGAUUGAUGGCGAGUGGCGAACGGGUGAGUAAUACAUCGGAACGUGCCCUGUAGUGGGGGAUAACUAGUCGAAAGAUUAGCUAAUACCGCAUACGACCUGAGGGUGAAAGUGGGGGACCGCAAGGCCUCAUGCUAUAGGAGCGGCCGAUGUCUGAUUAGCUAGUUGGUGGGGUAAAGGCCCACCAAGGCGACGAUCAGUAGCUGGUCUGAGAGGACGAUCAGCCACACUGGGACUGAGACACGGCCCAGACUCCUACGGGAGGCAGCAGUGGGAAUUUUGGACAAUGGGCGAAAGCCUGAUCCAGCAAUGCCGCGUGUGUGAAGAAGGCC